AUCGUUUCUCAACCUCUUAAAUCCAGGUUUCC
rnacentral:piRNA from 1 species